rnacentral:rRNA from 1 species
GGCGACCGGCGCACGGGUGCGUAACGCGUAUCCAACCUACCCAUGAGUCAGGAACAGCCCGGCGAAAGUCGGAUUAAUGCCUGAUGCCGUGUGAAGAUGGCAUCUGAUUCACACGAAAGGCCUCGGCCGCUGAUGGAUGGGGAUGCGUACGAUUAGGUAGUAGGCGGGGCAACGGCCCACCUAGCCUUCGAUCGUUAGGGGUUCUGAGAGGAAGGUCCCCUACACUGGUACUGAGACACGGACCAGACUCCUACGGGAGGCAGCAGUGAGGAAUAUUGGUCAAUGGGCGUGAGCCUGAACCAGUCAAUUUGCCCGCCCGAUGACGGCCCUAUGGGUUGUAAACUGCUUUUAUGCGGGGAUAAAUCGCGGGACGUGUCCUGCGUUGCAGGUACCGCAUGAAUAAGGACCGGCUAAUUCCGUGCCAGCAGCCGCGGUAAUACGGAAGGUCCGGGCGUUAUCCGGAUUUAUUGGGUUUAAAGGGAGCGCAGGCGGGAUAUUAAGCGUGACGUGAAAUGUAGGUGCUCAACGUCUGCACUGCGUCGCGAACUGGUGUCCUUGAGUUCACUGAAAGCGUGCGGAAUUCGUGGUGUAGCGGUGAAAUGCUUAGAUAUCACGAAGAACUCCGAUUGCGAAGGCAGCUCGCUGUAGUGUUACUGACGCUGAGGCUCGAAGGUGCGGGUAUCGAACAGGAUUAGAUACCCUGGUAGUCCGCACGGUAAACGAUGGACACCCGCUGUUUGCCUGUUAGGUAAGCGGCCAAGCGAAAGCGUUAAGUGUCCCACCUGGGGAGUACGCCGGCAACGGUGAAACUCAAAGGAAUUGACGGGGGCCCGCACAAGCGGAGGAACAUGUGGUUUAAUUCGAUGAUACGCGAGGAACCUUACCCGGGCUUGAACUGCAGGAGAACGAAACAGAGAUGUUGAGGUCCUUCGGGACUCCUGUGGAGGUGCUGCAUGGUUGUCGUCAGCUCGUGCCGUGAGGUGUCGGCUUAAGUGCCAUAACGAGCGCAACCCCUUUCGCUAGUUGCCAUCAGGUAGAGCUGGGCACUCUGGCGACACUGCCACCGCAAGGUGUGAGGAAGGUGGGGAUGACGUCAAAUCAGCACGGCCCUUACGUCCGGGGCUACACACGUGUUACAAUGGGGUUUGCAGAGCGCCGGCGGCCGGCAACGUCCGUCCAAUCGUGAAAUUUCCCCUCAGUUCGGAUUGGGGUCUGCAACCCGACCCCAUGAAGCUGGAUUCGCUAGUAAUCGCGCAUCAGCCAUGGCGCGGUGAAUACGUUCCCGGGCCUUGUACACACCGCCCGUCACACCAUCCGAGUGGGGGGUACCCGAAGUCGUGAGUCUUACCGCAAGGAGGACCAUGCCGAAGGUACGCUUCGUGAGGUACAAAAGUCGUAACAAGGUAACC